GAUGAAGAACGUAGCGAAAUGCGAUAAGUAAUGUGAAUUGCAGAAUUCAGUGAAUCAUCGAAUCUUUGAACGCACAUUGCGCCCGCUAGUAUUCUGGCGGGCAUGCCUGUCCGAGCGUCAUUUCAACCCUCAAGCCCCCGGGCUUGGUGUUGGGGAUCGGCGAGCCUCCGCGCCCGCCGUCCCCUAAAUCUAGUGGCGGUCUCGCUGUAUCUUCCUCUGCGUAGUAGCACACCUCGCACUGGGAAACAGCGCGGCCACGCCGUUAAACCCCCAACUUCUGAACGUUUGACCUCGGAUCAGGUAGGAAUACCCGCUGAACUUAAGCAUAUCAAUAAGCGGAGGA
rnacentral:misc_RNA from 1 species